GUAAGAAAAUGCCUGCAGCCCCUUGCACUCGCGGAGUCAUCUACGCAAGGUCGGGCUCUGCAGGCAGCAGCUUCUGGUCUCACCCCGGGCUUGUGCGCACACCUGGGGACAUGUGGGAAGGUCGCUCUUGCGGCCACUGAGCGGCCUGGCCUCAGGGAACGAGCCCCGCGCCGGGAAGAAAGCUGCCUGCCGGGAGCGCAGCCUAUUGGGGACCCGGGACCCGAGCCACCGCGGCUCACCAAGAGGCGGUGGGGCCCUGCGGUGCGUGUGGGACGCCGGGCAGGCAGACUCUGAGCACGGCCAGGAGGCAAGAAGAGAUUGAAGGGAAAUCUCAAGGGGCUCCAGAGACUACUACGAUGGUGCAAAGUCACAGAAGCCCUGGGAAAAGCAGGUAGAAUGGAGUUGCCAUGACAUUGAGCCUCACCUAGAUGCCAGUUCCAGAUAUUGGCAGACUGCUGGCCUCCUGAGGAGCACAGGAAGGGGCCUGGCAGACUGGUGAUCCUGGUUGGAGAUGAAGAGGGGCUGAUUAA
rnacentral:lncRNA from 10 species